GAAGUACUCCCUCCAACCAAUAUUACUUGUCUCAAAUUUGCCCAAAGAUGGACGUAUCUAUGUUUAGAAAGUGUCUAGAUACAUGUAAUAUUUUGACAAGUAAUAUGGGUCGGAGGGAGUAUCAU
rfam:Brachypodium distachyon strain Bd21 chromosome 4, whole genome shotgun sequence.